GCUCCAUGAUGCGACCGGGCCCACAUCCCAGGCCUCAGGCCUUACGGCCUCCUGGUGGCCAGCUAACGGCGGCGGAGGGAGGGGACCGUUCGCUUGGGAGUCUCAGCCCAGCUUAUCUCCCUCCCUCCCCGCGUCCGUCCAUCCACUGGGAACUGGGGUGGGCUGUGACCGUGGCGAGGGGGAGCCAGCCUUCCGGCCGCCUGUCCGUCGGUUCUGACUGAGGCUGAGGAGCGGGCCUAGUUGGGUACUGCUGGGCCCAGCUCGGGGCCUGUCCUCACUCCCCCACCUCCCUCAGCCUCGCUCCCAUUGCAGCCCAGGCACCGCCUCUUCCGCCGGCUCCUGCAGGGUCUCCUUCCCGUGCGGCGGCGGGCUGUACGUCAGCGCUCCCCCGCUCGCCCGCGACACACUACCCCCCCCUCCUCUUCCUCCUCCUCCUCUUCCUCCUCCUCCUCCUCCUCCUCCUCUCCUCUCCUCCUCCUCCUUUCCUUCUCCUCCGCCCUCGCCCCCUCCCUCCCUCAGGCAGCAGCAGCAGCAGCCGCGGCAGCAGCAGCAGCACCAGCAGCAGCAGCAGCGGCGGCGGCGGCAGAUCCCUCCCCAGCCAUGGCCCUGUGAGGCAGCAGCACAUGGCGGCCACAGCAGCCAUGAGCGCCCCCCCGACUCAUACAACUCCCCCCUAGACACCGCCGCCUGCCCGGCUCAGCCCCCGACGAUCCAGCAGCCACCCACCCAGCCUAGCCCGCCCGCCCACCAGCCAACCGCCUCCAGCCGCCGCCGCCGCCGCCGCCGCCGCCGCCACCACCACCACCAAGGAAACCUCCGGCUCCUCACUCAUCCUCCCCCGCCCCAUUUACCAGCCGCCGCCGCCGCCACCACCACCACCGGAGACCGAAGGGGGGAGCUCCCGGGGAGGGAGGGAGGGAAGGAAGGGGACGGACACCAGCCCGCCCGCCAGUCCAGCCGAGUCGCCGCCGCCGCCACUGCCGCCGCUGCCGCCCGCCGGGCUGAGGGAGAGGAGC
rnacentral:lncRNA from 1 species